UACGUAGGUGGCGAGCGUUGUCCGGAUUUACUGGGCGUAAAGAGCGCGCAGGCGGUCGAUCAAGUCGGAUGUGAAAGCCCCCGGCUCAACUGGGGAGGGUCAUUCGAUACUGGUCGACUCGAAGGCAGGAGAGGGAAGCGGAAUUCCCGGUGUAGUGGUGAAAUGCGUAGAUAUCGGGAGGAACACCAGUGGCGAAGGCGGCUUCCUGGCCUGUUCUUGACGGC
rnacentral:rRNA from 1 species